GACGAACGCUGGCGGCGUGCUUAACACAUGCAAGUCGAACGGAAAGGCCCUGCUUUUGUGGGGUGCUCGAGUGGCGAACGGGUGAGUAACACGUGAGUAACCUGCCCUUGACUUUGGGAUAACUUCAGGAAACUGGGGCUAAUAUCGGAUAGGAGCUCCUGCUGCACGGUGGGGGUUGGAAAGUUUCGGCGGUUGGGGAUGGACUCGCGGCUUAUCAGCUUGUUGGUGGGGUAGUGGCUUACCAAGGCUUUGACGGGUAGCCGGCCUGAGAGGGUGACCGGGCACAUUGGGACUGAGAUACGGCCCAGAAGCCUACGGGAGGCAGCAGUGGGGAAUAUUGCACAGUAGGCGGAAGCCUGAUGCAGCAACGCCGCGUGCGGGAUGACGGCCUUCGGGUUGUAAACCGCUUUCGCCUGUGCCGAAGCGUGAGUGACGGUAAUGAGUAAGGAAGCACCGGCUAACUACGUG
rnacentral:rRNA from 1 species